rnacentral:siRNA from 1 species
AGUAAACCUCCAAACACAUGCAAC